GAUGAACGUUGGCGGCGUGCCUAAUACAUGCAAGUCGAACGAAGACUGUAGUAAUACUGUCUUAGUGGCGAACGGGUGAGUAACGCGUGGGUGACCUGCCCCGAAGUGUGGGAUAACAGUUCGAAAGAACUGCUAAUACCGCAUAAUAUCCAAGAGAUUAGACGCUUUUUGGAUUAAAGGAGUAAUUCGCUUCGGGAGGGGCCCGCGUCCCAUCAGCUAGUUGGUAAGGUAAUGGCUUACCAAGGCGAUGACGGGUAGGGGACCUGAGAGGGUGGCCCCCCACAAUGGAACUGAAACACGGUCCAUACACCUACGGGUGGCAGCAGUAGGGAAUAUUGCAAAUGGGCGAAAGCCUGAUGUAGCAACGCCGCGUGUGCGAUGAAGGUCUUCGGAUUGUAAAGCACUUUUUGGAGGGAUGAGGAAGGACAGUACCUCCAGAAUAAGCCUCGGCUAACUACGUG
rnacentral:rRNA from 1 species